rnacentral:rRNA from 1 species
CCUACGGGAGGCAGCAGUGGGGGAUAUUGCACAAUGGGGGAAACCCUGAUGCAGCGACGCCGCGUGGACGAAGAAGUAUUUCGGUAUGUAAAGCCCUAUCAGCAAGGAAGAAGAAAUGACGGUACCUGAGUAAGAAGCCCCGGCUAAAUACGUGGCAGCAGCCGCCGUAAUACGUAGGGUGCAAGCGUUAUGCGGAUUUACUGGGUGUAAAGGGAGCGGAGGCGGCACGGCAAGUCUGAUGUGAAAGCCCGGGGCCCAACCGCGGGACUGCAUUGGGAACUGCCUGGCUGGAGUGCGGGAGAGGUAGGCGGAAUUCCUGGUGUAGCGGUGGAAUGAGGAGAUAUUAGGAGGAACACCAGUGGCGAAGGCGGCCUACUGGACGGUGACUGACGCUGAGGCUCGAAAGCGUGGGGAGCAAACAGGAUUAGAGACCCGUGUAGUC